rnacentral:rRNA from 1 species
AGUGAACGCUGGCGGUAGGCCUAACACAUGCAAGUCGAACGGCAGCACAGUAAGAGCUUGCUCUUACGGGUGGCGAGUGGCGGACGGGUGAGGAAUACAUCGGAAUCUACUUUUUCGUGGGGGAUAACGUAGGGAAACUUACGCUAAUACCGCAUACGACCUACGGGUGAAAGCAGGGGAUCUUCGGACCUUGCGCGAUUGAAUGAGCCGAUGUCGGAUUAGCUAGUUGGCGGGGUAAAGGCCCACCAAGGCGACGAUCCGUAGCUGGUCUGAGAGGAUGAUCAGCCACACUGGAACUGAGACACGGUCCAGACUCCUACGGGAGGCAGCAGUGGGGAAUAUUGGACGAUGGGCACAAGCCUGCUCCAGCCAUACCGCGUGGGUGAAGAAGGCCUUCGGGUUGUAAAGCCCUUUUGUUGGGAAAGAAAAGCAGCAGGUUAAUACCCCGCUGUUCUGACGGUACCCAAAGAAUAAGCACCGGCUAACUUCGUG